AUCCAGAUGAUGAGUCCCGAAUAGAACGAAAUGCACAUAUUGGAU
rnacentral:hammerhead_ribozyme from 1 species